rnacentral:tRNA from 1 species
GGAGGUCUCCUGACUAAGUGGUAAAGUAUCUGCUUGGCAUGCAGAAGGUUGCAGGUUCAAUCCCUGCCAACUCCA